ACUCCUACGGGAGGCAGCAGUGGGGAAUAUUGCACAAUGGGCGCAAGCCUGAUGCAGCGACGCCGCGUGAGGGAUGAAGGCCUUCGGGUUGUAAACCUCUUUCAGCAGGGAAGAAGCGCAAGUGACGGUACCUGCAGAAGAAGCGCCGGCUAACUACGUGCCAGCAGCCGCGGUAAU
rnacentral:rRNA from 1 species